CUUCAAGAAAGGACAAGAAAACAAAACAGAUGUGCUAUCAGAUAGGAAGCUCCUGACAAAACAGGAAGAGAAGAGAGGUGACAAGAAUGGCCUGCCACAUAGGAGAGAUGUGCUGUCAGAUGUGUGCAUGGAACAUGCAGAUGUCAUGUGUGAAGACUGCCUUGGGUCCCCUCUUAGUUCCUGCAGGAGUGAAUUGUUAUGAAAGGAGGAAGCCUGUCUCUGAGCCACUCUGGUUUCCUGUCUCACCAUGUGCCCAUGCUACUGUGAUGCCAUCCUCCAGGAAGUCCUUGCCAGAGACCAGACCUAUGGAGCCACCUGAAGUUUGACUUCCAGGUCCCAAAACUACAAGUAAAAUUAACCUCUUUUCCCUAUAAAUUAUCCAUUUUCAUGUUUUUCUUUAUAGCAAGAGAAAAUGGACUAAUGCAAAUG
rnacentral:lncRNA from 1 species